rnacentral:rRNA from 1 species
AUUGAACGCUGGCGGAAUGCUUUACACAUGCAAGUCGAACGGCAGCACGGGGGCAACCCUGGUGGCGAGUGGCGAACGGGUGAGUAAUACAUCGGAACGUGCCCAGUCGUGGGGGAUAACGUAGCGAAAGUUACGCUAAUACCGCAUACGAUCUACGGAUGAAAGCGGGGGCCCGUAAGGCCUCGCGCGAUUGGAGCGGCCGAUGUCAGAUUAGGUAGUUGGUGCGGUAAAGGCUCACCAAGCCGACGAUCUGUAGCUGGUCUGAGAGGACGACCAGCCACACUGGGACUGAGACACGGCCCAGACUCCUACGGGAGGCAGCAGUGGGGAAUUUUGGACAAUGGGCGCAAGCCUGACCCAGCCAUUCCGCGUGCAGGACGAAGGCCUUCGGGUUGUAAACUGCUUUUGUACGGAACGAAAAGGCUCUGGUUAAUACCUGGGGCUCAUGACGGUACCGUAAGAAUAAGCACCGGCUAACUACGUGCCAGCAGCCGCUGUAA